rnacentral:rRNA from 1 species
CCUACGGGAGGCAGCAGUGAGGAAUAUUGGUCAAUGGGCGCGAGCCUGAACCAGCCAAGUAGCGUGAAGGAUGACUGCCCUACGGGUUGUAAACUUCUUUUAUAAAGGAAUAACGUGAGGCACGUGUGCCUUUUUGUAUGUACUUUAUGAAUAAGGAUCGGCUAACUCCGUGACAGCAGCCGCGGUAAUACGGGGGAUGCGAGCGUUAUCCGGAUUGAUUGGGUUUAAAGGGUGCGCAGGGGGGCUGUUAAGCGGGCGGUAAAAAUUCCGGGCUCAACCCUGUCGAGCCGUCGGAACUGGCAGUCUUGAGUGGUCGAGAAGUAGUCGGAAUGCGUGGUGUAGCGGUGAAAUGCAUAGAUAUCACGCAGAACGCCGAUGGCGAAGGCAGCAUACCGGUGCCCAACUGACGCUGAGGCACGAAAGCGUGGGGAUCGAACAGGAUUAGAUACCCGAGUAGUC